UACGGGGGGGGCAAGCGUUGUUCGGAAUUACUGGGCGGAAAGGGCUCGUAGGUGGCCAACUAAGUCAGACGUGAAAUCCCUCGGCUUAACCGGGGAACUGCGUCUGAUACUGGAUGGCUUGAGUUUGGGAGAGGGAUGCGGAAUUCCAGGUGUAGCGGUGAAAUGCGUAGAUAUCUGGAGGAACACCGGUGGCGAAGGCGGCGUCCUGGACCAACACUGACACUGAUGAGCGAAAGCCAGGGGAGCAAACGGG
rnacentral:rRNA from 1 species